CGGACACAGUGAUCGGCAUUGGAUGGAUGGGGUUCUCCUGGAAGCCAGUUCUGACAGCUCUCUAUAUUAAAUCCUUCGCCUCUUUGCUGUGCUUCAGAGCUUGCAAAAUCAUUGAAUCCAAUCCAGACAUCAAGGCUCCUGAUGACAUGAGUGACCAGGAAGCUCUGGAUCUCGGGGCUGCUCACAAAAGCCAGCUCUCCAUUGCCAUGCUCCUGGCAGUGCUGCUGGGCC
rnacentral:lncRNA from 1 species